rnacentral:rRNA from 1 species
UACGGAGGGUGCAAGCGUUAUCCGGAUUCACUGGGUUUAAAGGGUGCGUAGGUGGGUUUGUAAGUCAGUGGUGAAAUCUCUAAGCUUAACUUGGAAACUGCCAUUGAUACUAUUUGUCUUGAAUACUGUGGAGGUCAGCGGAAUAUGUCAUGUAGCGGUGAAAUGCUUAGAUAUGACAUAGAACACCAAUUGCGAAGGCAGCUGGCUACACAAAUAUUGACACUGAGGCACGAAAGCGUGGGGAUCAAACAGG